rnacentral:rRNA from 1 species
GACGAACGCUGGCGGCGUGCUUAACACAUGCAAGUCGAACGGAAAGGCCCUGCUUUUGUGGGGUGCUCGAGUGGCGAACGGGUGAGUAACACGUGAGUAACCUGCCCUUGACUUUGGGAUAACUUCAGGAAACUGGGGCUAAUACCGGAUAGGAGCUCCUGCUGCAUGGUGGGGGUUGGAAAGUUUCGGCGGUUGGGGAUGGACUCGCGGCUUAUCAGCUUGUUGGUGAGGUAGUGGCUUACCAAGGCUUUGACGGGUAGCCGGCCUGAGAGGGUGACCGGCCACAUUGGGACUGAGAUACGGCGCAGACUCCUACGGGAGGCAGCAGUGGGGAAUAUUGCACAAUGGGCGGAAGCCUAAUGCAGCAACGCCGCGUGCGGGAUGACGGCCUUCGGGUUGUAAACCGCUUUCGCCUGUGACGAAGCGUGAGUGACGGUAAUGGGUAAAGAAGCACCGGCUAACUACGUG